GUCGGGUUCCGCAAACAUACCAGUUCAAUUCACAGUGGGUUGGCCUCGGAUUCGGACGCGACCGCUCUGCCCAGGGGUUGCCAAGCAACGCGUCGUAGCAAGUUGAUUCGAUCUGGCUGCCAUCUGGUGGCAUUCAGAACUGUUGGGGAAAAGCAGACCCGACAGUAACGCGCUACGGCGCUGAACUACGUCGAGGAACCUGAUGGCCACCAGGGACAUCAACGCAAUGUAAAUGUCAAAACCGAACCUAGCAAGAA